rnacentral:misc_RNA from 1 species
GACAGAGGGUGCAAAUGUUGUUCGGAAUUACUGGGCGUAAAGCGCGUGUAGGUGGCCAUGCAAGUCGGAUGUGAAAGCCCACGGCUCAACCGUGGAAGUGCAUUCGAAACUGCGUGGCUAGAGUCCUGGAGAGGAAGGUGGGAUACUUGGUGUAGAGGUGAAAUUCGUAGAUAUCAAGUGGAACACCGGUGGCGAAGGCGGCCUUCUGGACAGUGACUGACACUGAGACGCGAAAGCGUGGGGAGCAAACAGG